rnacentral:rRNA from 1 species
GACGUAGGGCGCGAGCGUUGUCCGGAUUUAUUGGGCGUAAAGAGCUCGUAGGCGGCUUGUUACGUCGACUGUGAAAACCCGCGGCUCAACUGCGGGCCUGCAGUCGAUACGGGCAGGCUAGAGUUCGGUAGGGGAGACUGGAAUUCCUGGUGUAGCGGUGAAAUGCGCAGAUAUCAGGAGGAACACCGAUGGCGAAGGCAGGUCUCUGGGCAUUAACUGACGCUGAGGAGCGAAAGCAUGGGGAGCGAACAGG